rnacentral:rRNA from 1 species
GACGAACGCUGGCGGCGUGCCUAAUACAUGCAAGUAGAACGCAGUUGCGAACGGGUGAGUAACGCGUAGGUAACUUCAUCAUAGCGGGGGAUAACUAUUGGGAACGAUAGCUAAUACCGCAUACUGUGAGAUGGACCUGCGUUGUGUUAGCUAGUUGGUGCGGUAAAGGCUCACCAAGGCGUCGAUACAUAGCCGACCUGUGCGGGUGGUUGCCCACACUGUGACUGAGACAAGGCCCAGACUGCUAAGGGAGGCAGCAGUAGGGAAACUUCGGCAAGGGACGGAAGUCUGACCUAGCAACGCAGCGUGAGUGAAUAAAUUUUUCGGAUCGUAAAGCUCUGUUGUAUGAGAAGCGGGAACUAACCAGAAAGGGACGGCUAACUACGUGCCAGCAGCCGCGGUAAUUC